GAUGAACGCUGGCGGCGUGCCUAAUACAUGCCAGUCGAGCGAACAGAUAAGGAGCUUGCUCCUUUGACGUUAGCGGCGGACGGGUGAGUAACACGUGGGUAACCUACCUAUAAGACUGGGAUAACUUCGGGAAACCGGAGCUAAUACCGGAUAACAUUUGGAACCGCAUGGUUCUAAAGUGAAAGAUGGUUUUGCUAUCACUUAUAGAUGGACCCGCGCCGUAUUAGCUAGUUGGUAAGGUAACGGCUUACCAAGGCAACGAUACGUAGCCGACCUGAGAGGGUGAUCGCCCACCCGGGAACUAAGACACGGUCCAGACUCCUACGGGAGGCAGCAGUAGGGAACCUUCCGCAAUGGGCGAAAGCCUGACGGAGCAACGCCGCGUGAGUGAUGAAGGGUUUCGGCUCGUAAAACUCUGUUAUUAGGGAAGAACAAACGUGUAAGUAACUGUGCACGUCUUGACGGUACCUAAUCAGAAAGCCACGGCUAACUACGU
rnacentral:rRNA from 1 species